GUGAGACAGACUGCUAAUCAAACACAGUGUCAACUUCCUUCCUCAAAAAGUCUCCGACUGGAUUAAACGAAGCAAAUAAAGUCGAGAGUGCUCCUCGCGGUGACUCGGAAUGCAUCGUUGAACUGCUGAACGCAUUUGUUACAGGCCAAGCCUGUCCCUUUAAGAAGAAUUGCUUCCCUCGCUGUCUGACUGCACCGCCCAUUGUUUUCUGCGUCAUGAUUGCCUGUCGACCACAAUCUACUUCGUGCCGCCCCUGCCGUGUCUCCUGUGUCAUCGCUAGCUCGCUUGCUUGCUAGCUUGUAAAGGAAUCUUCAGUUCGAAAGAGGAGGACUGCAACAGGUCUGCCCUGGGGCCUUCUCCUGUUUGGGCAUGCCCGGAACACCGCACCAGGGAGGCAUCCGUACUAGAUGCCCGAGCCGCUUGCCUUCUUGGCUCUCUUGGUUAAGGGCUGGGUUGCACUGUGGAGGUUUUUUUUUUUUUU